UUAUUAUACAACAAUAGAUGUUUUUGUAUCAAUAUUUAUAUUUUUUCACCUUCUUUUCAAUUUAAACUUGUUUUGCCCUCAACUAUUAACAGUGUAAUUUGACUCGGACAUUGAACAACAACCAUGAUAACUUGUUAAAAGCUGAUGUUGACCAAGAAUAAUCGGAAAAAAGCUGAUUGUUAGGAGGAGUUAAUACACUGUAAAUUGACCCUCAAUUUCAACCAUUUUAUGUCAACACCAAAUGGGUUUACAAUGGAAAAGGAUGAAUCAUUAUUUUACCUCUCCGUCCAACAAUUUAUUCAAUUUGAUCACCAUUGUAAUCCUUACAAUGAGAACCAUUUUUGAUAGUGAAUUUGAUUUUGAGAAGAAAAAAAAGACUUUUUGAUUCGGUUACCUUUGCCAGAAAACAACAAAAACAUCAGUUACAAAAAAAGGUAACAUCAAACUGAGAGAUCAAAUUAAGAAGGGAAUUGUUGCCGAUUACAAUGAAUAACCAUUUGAAUGGACUCAGAUGAACUGCCUUUGAUUCUGAUGAGCAUUCAAUUUCAUCUUCACAUCCAUGACUCUAAUUUUGUUGAUCAAAGGACCGAUGCAAGGAAUGAAUAAGUUCACAGGAUCAUCAAAGCAAAUCUUCAACAUAAAUCCAAAACUGAAUUCAAGUUACAAUGUAACCCUAUCCUGUUGCAUGCAUUACCUGGACUUAAUAACAAUUUUUGAUGAUUUCUUAAUCAAA